AUUGAACGCUGGCGGCAGGCCUAACACAUGCAAGUCGAGCGGAUGAAGGGAGCUUGCUCCUGGAUUCAGCGGCGGACGGGUGAGUAAUGCCUAGGAAUCUGCCUGGUAGUGGGGGCUAACGUCCGGAAACGGGCGCUAAUACCUCAUACGUCCUGAGGGAGAAAGUGGGGGAUCUUCGGACCUCACGCUAUCAGAUGAGCCUAGGUCGGAUUAGCUAGUUGGUGGGGUAACGGCCUACCAAGGCGACGAUCCGUAACUGGUCUGAGAGGAUGAUCAGUCACAAUGGAAGUGAGACAAGGUCCAGAAGACUACGGGAGGAAGCAGUGGGGAAUAGUGGACAAUGGGGGAAAGCAGGAUGAAGCAGUGCCGCGGGGGGGAAGAAGGUGUUCGGAUUGUUAAGAACUUUAAGUGGGGAGGAAGAGGAGUAAGUUAAUACCUGGCGGUUUGGACGUAACCAAGAGAAGAAGCGCCGGCUAACUUCGUG
rnacentral:rRNA from 1 species